rnacentral:rRNA from 1 species
UUGCGCCUACGGGGGGCAGCAGUAGGGAAUCUUCCACAAUGGGCGAGAGCCUGAUGGCGCAACGCCGCGUGGGUGAAGAAGGUCUUCGGAUCGUACAACCCUGUUGUUAGAGAAGAAAGUGCGUGAGAGUAACUGUUUACGUUUCGACGGUAUCUAACCAGAAAGCCACGGCUAACUACGUGCCAGCCGCCGCGGUAAUACGUAGGUGGCAAGCGUUAUCCGGAUUUAUU